CCAUUUUUGGGCCCAUUGCUACUCUUCGCAAGAAACGAUCUCUUGCCUUCAUCAUCAUAAUCUCUCAAUCCUCUCAGACUCUUUGCGAAGGGAAAAGCAAGAUCAAGACCAAAAAGGGUGUUCCUGCAGAUGGUUUAAAGAUCCAGAACAAGAAUGUUGUGAAGAAUUUAAUUAGGGUUUACGAAGAGAAAAACAAGAUCAACACCAAGAAAAGUAAGAACUUUUAGGAGCGCAAAAAUGGCGGAGAUCGAGAACAAACAUGCCUGAACAGAUUGUUUAAAGAAGCGACUAAUCAGAGUAAUCUAAAGGUGUUUCUUUUAAGUAGAGGAAUCUAAAUCAAGAGCGCAUUCCUGGAUUUGGUGAGGCUUUCUUGACACAGGAGGACGCAUGUUUCCAUCACUAACGGUGAAAGCGCCUUGCUGCAACAUGGCUAUACACACAUAGAGCGAUGGGGAAGAAGAACAGAGCAACAGAGAGUUCGACGACGAGAAGAUUCUAGUGCAGCACCAGAAAGCCAAAGACUUCAAAUGCUAUAGAAGCUCUCUACAACUAGCGGCGUGGUCACUCAUGUCCUUCAGAUUCAUAAAGAGAACGUUACAAAGGUUCCUAAUGGUCGAGAUUCAACUGAGAUUGAAAUACACGGAACGCAAGGAAUUCCACAACAUCUCUCUUGGCUGCUGACAAUAAUGGAGAAGAAGGUAAAAGGAGUUGCUACUAAAACAGAUCCAAUAUAUGGGUUGUACAUCAAACAUUUAGUUUAUCCUUCUAAAUAAAGGCCCAGUUUCUAUCAAACAUUUAGUUAUCCUACUAAUAGGCCCAACAAAAACAAUGAUGUUUUCACAAAUAUAUUAAUAGAUAAAAAAUUAGGCUUUUCGAUUGGGCUUGAGAUGUAAUGAAGCCCAACGAUUUGACUUUUCCAAA